rnacentral:rRNA from 1 species
GAUCCUGGCUCAGAUUGAACGCUGGCGGCAUGCCUUACACAUGCAAGUCGAACGGCAGCAUGGAGAGCUUGCUCUCUGAUGGCGAGUGGCGAACGGGUGAGUAAUACAUCGGAACGUGUCCGUUUGUGGGGGACAACCGUCCGAAAGGAUGGCUAAUACCGCAUAAGACCUGAGGGUGAAGACGGGACCGGCAGCCGCGCNGACGGAGCGGCCGGACUGAUUGAUUAGU